GCCUCGGUGGCGUAGUGGUCAAGACGCUCGCCUGCUAAUCAGGAGGGCGUGGGUUCGAUCCCAGCCGAGGUA
rnacentral:tRNA from 1 species